CAGCAGCCGCGGUAAUACGUAGGUGGCAAGCGUUGUCCGGAAUUAUUGGGCGUAAAGCGCGCGCAAGCGGAUCAGUUAGUCUGUCUUAAAAGUUCGGGGCUUAACCCCGUGAGGGGAUGGAAACUGCUGAUCUAGAGUAUCGGAGAGGAAAGUGGAAUUCCUAGUGUAGCGGUGAAAUGCGUAGAUAUUAGGAAGAACACCAGUGGCGAAGGCGACUUUCUGGACGAAAACUGACGCUGAGGCGCGAAAGCCAGGGGAGCGAACGGGAUUAGAUACCCCUGUAGUCCCUGUCUCUUAUACA
rnacentral:rRNA from 1 species